rnacentral:rRNA from 1 species
AACGAACGCUGGCGGCAUGCCUAACACAUGCAAGUCGAACGAGACCUUCGGGUCUAGUGGCGCAUGGGUGCGUAACGCGUGGGAACCUGCCCUUAGGUUCGGAAUAACUCUCCGAAAGGGGUGCUAAUACCGGAUAAUGUCUUCGGACCAAAGAUUUAUCGCCUUUGGAUGGGCCCGCGUUGGAUUAGCUAGUUGGUAGGGUAAAAGCCUACCAAGGCGACGAUCCAUAGCUGGUCUGAGAGGAUGAUCAGCCACACUGGGACUGAGACACGGCCCAGACUCCUACGGGGGGCAGCGGUGGGGAAUAUUAGACCGUGUGCGAGAGGCUGAUCCAGCAAUGCCGCAUGAGUGAUGUAGGCCUUAGGGUUGUAAAGCUCUUUUACCCGGGAUGAUAAUGACAGUACCGGGAGAAUAAGCUCCGGCUAACUCC